UACGUAGGGACCAAGCGUUGUUCGGAUUUACUGGGCGUAAAGGGCGCGUAGGCGGCGUGGUAAGUCACUUGUGAAAUCUCUGAGCUUAACUCAGAACGGCCAAGUGAUACUGCUGUGCUAGAGUGCAGAAGGGGCAAUCGGAAUUCUUGGUGUAGCGGUGAAAUGCGUAGAUAUCACGAGGAACACCUGAGGUGAAGACGGGUUGCUGGGCUGACACUGACGCUGAUGCGCGAAAGCCAGGGGAGCAAACGGG
rnacentral:rRNA from 1 species